rnacentral:lncRNA from 1 species
UACGUUACUUUGUCAUUCUUAACCUGGCACACUACACUCGGGCCACACAUCUGUUCCCCCAAACGCACCCAGCUCGGUCUUAAGCAUGAUUAGUUAGGCAUGCAGUAAUAAACUACUGCCCUGCCACAUUUAUAACACACAAGCAUUGCUUCUCCUGACAUAUAACUGUUAUAAUCCACUUGAUGUUUUGCUUAUGGUUAUCUACUUUAUUAUAAAUACGCUACUCUUGUUAGUAAUCUUAU